rnacentral:rRNA from 1 species
GUCCACGCCCUAAACGAUGUCAACUGGUUGUUGGGAAUUCACUUUCUCAGUAACGAAGCUAACGCGUGAAGUUGACCGCCUGGGGAGUACGGCCGCAAGGUUAAAACUCAAAGGAAUUGACGGGGACCCGCACAAGCGGUGGAUGAUGUGGUUUAAUUCGAUGCAACGCGAAAAACCUUACCCACCUUUGACAUGUAUGGAAGGCCGCAGAGACGCGGUUUGUGCCCCGAAAGGGAGCCAUAACACAGGUGCUGCAUGGCUGUCGU